CUCAAAUUUGAAAUCUGGCACCUUCGGUGUCCGAGUUGUAAUUUGAAGAAGGUAACUUUGGAGUUGGCUCUUGUCUAUGUUCCUUGGAACAGGACGUCACAGAGGGUGAGAAUCCCGUGCGAUGAGAUGCCCAAUUCUAUGUAAAGUGCUUUCGAAGAGUCGAGUUGUUUGGGAAUGCAGCUCUAAGUGGGUGGUAAAUUCCAUCUAAAGCUAAAUAUUGGCGAGAGACCGAUAGCGAACAAGUACAGUGAUGGAAAGAUGAAAAGAACUUUGAAAAGAGAGUGAAAAAGUACGUGAAAUUGUUGAAAGGGAAGGGCUUGAGAUCAGACUUGGUAUUUUGCAAGCCUUACCUUCGUGGUGGGGUCCCCUGCAGUUUACUGGGCCAGCAUCGGUUUGGAUGGUAGGAUAAUGACUUGGGAAUGUGACUUUGCUUCGGUAAAGUGUUAUAGCCCUUGUUGAUACUGCCUGUCUAGACCGAGGACUGCGUCUUUGACUAGGAUGCUGGCAUAAUGAUCUUAAGUCGCCCGUCUUGA
rnacentral:rRNA from 1 species